rnacentral:rRNA from 1 species
GUGGGGAAUUUUGGACAAUGGGCGCAAGCCUGAUCCAGCAAUGCCGCGUGCAGGAAGAAGGCCUUCGGGUUGUAAACUGCUUUUGUACGGAACGAAAAGGCUCUGGUUAAUACCUGGGGCUCAUGACGGUACCGUAAGAAUAAGCACCGGCUAACUACGUGCCAGCAGCCGCGGUAAUACGUAGGGUGCAAGCGUUAAUCGGAAUUACUGGGCGUAAAGCGUGCGCAGGCGGUUUUGUAAGACAGGCGUGAAAUCCCCGGGCUCAACCUGGGAAUUGCGCUUGUGACUGCAAGGCUGGAGGGCGGCAGAGGGGGAUGGAAUUCCGCGUGUAGCAGUGAAAUGCGUAGAUAUGCGGAGGAACACCGAUGGCGAAGGCAAUCCCCUGGGCCUGCACUGACGCUCAUGCACGAAAGCGUGGGGAGCAAACAGGAUUAGAAACCCUUGUAGUCC